GAUGAACGCUGGCGGCGUGCUUAACACAUGCAAGUCGAACGGAAAGGCCCAAGCUUGCUUGGGUACUCGAGUGGCGAACGGGUGAGUAACACGUGGGUGAUCUGCCCUGCACUUCGGGAUAAGCCUGGGAAACUGGGUCUAAUACCGGAUAGGACGAUGGUUUGGAUGCCAUUGUGGAAAGUUUUUUCGGUGUGGGAUGAGCUCGCGGCCUAUCAGCUUGUUGGUGGGGUAAUGGCCUACCAAGGCGUCGACGGGUAGCCGGCCUGAGAGGGUGUACGGCCACAUUGGGACUGAGAUACGGCCCAGACUCCUACGGGAGGCAGCAGUGGGGAAUAUUGCACAAUGGGCGCAAGCCUGAUGCAGCGACGCCGCGUGGGGGAUGACGGCCUUCGGGUUGUAAACUCCUUUCGCUAGGGACGAAGCGUUUUUGUGACGGUACCUGGAGAAGAAGCACCGGCUAACUACGUGCCAGCAGCCGCCGUAACAC
rnacentral:rRNA from 1 species